GGAUUCCCCUAGUAACGGCGAGUGAAGCGGGAUGAGCUCAAGCUUAAAAUCUCUGUGCCAGUUUGGCAUGGCGAAUUGUAGUCUAUGGAGGCGAUAUCAGUGCGACUGUUCGGGGUAAGUUCCUUGGAAGAGGACAGCAUCGAGGGUGAUACUCCCGUUUGUACCUGUUCAGUUGCGCGUACGAUACGUUUUCUUUGAGUCGCGUUGUUUGGGAAUGCAGCGCAAAGUAGGUGGUAAAUUCCAUCUAAAGCUAAAUAUUGGUGCGAGACCGAUAGCGAACAAGUACCGUGAGGGAAAGAUGAAAAGAACUUUGAAAAGAGAGUUAAAGAGUACCUGAAACUGCUGAAAGGGAACCGAAUCGUUUCCAGUGUCUAUAAUCCAUGGUAUAUUUCAUUGGUGAGUGAGUGCGUGCAGCGUUUUGGAAGUGGUUUCCGCUCCUGUCGUUGUUGUGCAUUUGCUUGCUGGUGCCCUGUGCUGUGGUGGGACGUCAGAGUCAGUUUGUAUGUUGCGGGAAAUGAUUAUUGGGGAGGUAGGUCGCUUCGGUGGCUGUUAUAUCCUGAUAAUUAGUCGUCGUGGCUGAGACUGAGGUGCCUACAACGUGCUUUCGAGUCUGCGGGUUUCUCGUGUUGCUGUUUGCUUUGAUAGCUUGCUAUGUUGGUGAAUAAGUAGUGCGAUUGAGAUUUGUAGUAACUUGUUGCCGUUCGGGACUUUGACGAAAUGGAGCGAUCCGACCCGUCUUGAAACACGGACCAAGGAGUCUAACAUGUGUGCAAGUGUUAGGGUGUGGAAACCCCAGCGCGAAAUGAAAGUAAAGGACGGCCUAGCUGUCUGAGGUAGGAAACCUUUGUUUACAGGGGUGGCACUAUCGACCGAUCAUGAACCUUCGUGGUGAAAGAUUUGAGUUUGAGCACAUAUGUUGGUACCCGAAAGAUGGUGAACUAUGCCUGAGUAGGGUGAAGCCAGG
rnacentral:rRNA from 1 species